GACGAACGCUGGCGGCGUGCCUAAUACAUGCAAGUAGAACGCUGAAGAGAGGAGCUUGCUCUUCUUGGAUGAGUUGCGAACGGGUGAGUAACGCGUAGGUAACCUGCCUGGUAGCAGGGGAUAACUAUUGGAAACGAUAGCUAAUACCGCAUGAUAUUAAUUAUUGCAUGAUAAUUGAUUGAAAGAUGCAAUUGCAUCACUACCAGAUGGACCUGCGUUGUAUUAGCUAGUUGGUGAGGUAACGGCUCACCAAGGCGACGAUACAUAGCCGACCUGAGAGGGUGAUCGGCCACACUGGGACUGAGACACGGCCCAGACUCCUACGGGAGGCAGCAGUAGGGAAUCUUCGGCAAUGGGGGGAACCCUGACCGAGCAACGCCGCGUGAGUGAAGAAGGUUUUCGGAUCGUAAAGCUCUGUUGUAAGAGAAGAACGGGUGUGAGAGUGGAAAGUUUCACACCUGUGACGGUAUCU
rnacentral:rRNA from 1 species